GACGAACGCUGGCGGCGUGCUUAACACAUGCAAGUCGAACGGAAAGGCCCUGCUUUUGUGGGGUGCUCGAGUGGCGGACGGGUGAGUAACACGUGAGUAACCUGCCCUUGACUUUGGGAUAACUUCAGGAAACUGGGGCUAAUACCGGAUAGGAGCUCCUGCUGCAUGGUGGGGGUUGGAAAGUUUCGGCGGGUGGGGAUGGACUCGCGGCUUAUCAGCUUGUUGGUGGGGUAGUGGCUUACCAAGGCUUUGACGGGUAGCCGGCCUGAGAGGGUGACCGGCCACAUUGGGCCUGAGAUACGGACCAGACUCCUACGGGAGGCAGCAGUGGGGAAUAUUGCACAAUGGGCGGAAGCCUGAUGCAGCAACGCCGCGUGCGGGAUGACGGCCUUCGGGUUGUAAACCGCUUUCGCCUGUGACGAAGCGUGAGUGACGGUAAUGGGUAAAGAAGCACCGGCUAACUACGUG
rnacentral:rRNA from 1 species